rnacentral:antisense_RNA from 1 species
UCCUAUGGUGGGCCGGGUGGGGACUCCUUCGGGGGUGCCGGAGCCUGUGGUCCGGUCGGCCAACCCCGCUUCGGUCCACCCCCCAC